rnacentral:rRNA from 1 species
GAUGAACGCUAGCUACAGGCUUAACACAUGCAAGUCGAGGGGAAACGACAUCGAAAGCUUGCUUUUGAUGGGCGUCGACCGGCGCACGGGUGAGUAACGCGUAUCCAACCUGCCCACCACUUGGGGAUAACCUUGCGAAAGUAAGACUAAUACCCAAUGAUAUCCCACGAAGGCAUCGGAAUGGGAUUAAAGAUUUAUCGGUGAUGGAUGGGGAUGCGUCUGAUUAGCUUGUUGGCGGGGUAACGGCCCACCAAGGCAACGAUCAGUAGGGGUUCUGAGAGGAAGGUCCCCCCACAUUGGAACUGAGACACGGUCCAAACUCCUACGGGAGGCAGCAGUGAGGAAUAUUGGUCAAUGGGCGAGAGCCUGAACCAGCCAAGUAGCGUGCAGGACGACGGCCCUAUGGGUUGUAAACUGCUUUUAUAAGGGAAUAAAGUGAGUCUCGUGAGACUUUUUGCAUGUACCUUAUGAAUAAGGACCGGCUAAUUCCGUG